AGCAUCUACAACGCACUCGUUAUUUCUGCUUCCUGCUUUCUCCCGGUUUUAUGCCACAGCUUCAUCUAGUGGGCAUGACGGAUCCUUGACUGCAUUUCCAGACCUUCUCUCCUCCCCUGAAAUCAGAGGGUGGGACUGAAAGUUCCAAUCAUCUAAUGAAGAGUCACUGAUGCCGAGGUUUACCAGCAUCACCGUUCUCAGUGCCACGAGCAGCGCAGCGAGGGUGAGGCAGCAUUUAAGGCCGCUCCGCCGUCUCCAGGAUGUUCAUCCAGGUUCCUGACGCCCAUUCUGCAAGUCCUGAUGCAUCAGCGACACCCACGCCCCGACUGCUGACUGGCCAACACGGCAUAGCCCAAUCUCAGAGUUGUUAAAACAUGGGGAAACAGUGUGUGCCAGAAGCAAUGAAAUACUCUUCUUCACUUUUAUUAGCUGGCCUGGAUGAGCCUAAAACGAGGCUGCCAAAACACUCCCUCUAAAUGGAAAUCUCGUCUCCUGUUUAAAACCCUUCAAUGGCUUCCAAACACUGACCAAAAGAACAAAGUCCAUACCCCUCUGCAUGGGAUACAAAACUCUUCACGACCUGUUUCUUUAAAAAAUUAUUAAUUAUUUUAAGCACACAAACAUGUAGAGAACAACAUAACAUAAAUAAUGUGGCACAAGCAACCAGAUUGGACAAAUAUGACUAAUGUUUGCACUUUGCCAUAUUUGCCUAGAAUAUUUGGUUUUUAAUCUAAAGGAAUAAGCUGUUCCCAGUGCGUCGAUGUUCUCUGUAUGCACUGCUCGUCCUAUUGUCCUCUUCUUCCCAGGGCCAAUCGCUCUCUGGAAGAUGUGACACGUCCCUUCCAUCCAUGUUUUACACUUGCACUUUAUCUGAACCCUUUCCUCCCUCCCUGUAAUAACACACUGGAUUGUUUCGUGUUUUUCACUUUUACAUAUAUUUUAUUAACUGUCUAAAUCCUCCAGCAAUGUGUGUUUCUCAUCAUUUUCCUGUUGGUGGGCACUAAUGUUUCCCAAUUUUUACCAUUUCAAACAAUAGGGCAAUUAACAUUUUGAGCAUGUCUCUUUGUGUAUGAUAGUGAGAGUUUCUCCACAGCAGCUUUGUUAGUAGAAAUAUAAUAAAGCCCCAAAUGAGAGUUAUAUAUGUAACAUAAAAUG